rnacentral:rRNA from 16 species
GGUAGUAGCAAAUAUUCAAAUGAGAACUUUGAAGGCCGAAGAGGAGAAAGGUUCCAUGUGAACGGCACUUGCACAUGGGUAAGCCGAUCCUAAGGGACAGGGUAACCCCGGCAGAUAGCGCAAUCACGCGCAUCCCCCGAAAGGGAAUCGGGUUAAGAUUUCCCGAGCCGGGAUGUGGCGGUUGACAGCGACGUUAGGAAGUCCGGAGACCCCGGCGGGGGCCUCGGGAAGAGUUAUCUUUUCUGCUUAACGGCCUGCCAACCCUGGAAAAGGUUCAGCCGGAGGUAGGGUCCAGUGGCCGGAAGAGCACCACACAUCGCGCGGUGUCCGGUGCGCCCCCGGUGGCCCAUGAAAAUCCGGAGGACCGAGUACCGUUCACGCCCAGUCGUACUCAUGACCGCAUUAGGUCUCCAAGGUGAACGACCUCUGGCC